GAUGAACGCUAGCUACAGGCUUAACACAUGCAAGUCGAGGGUCUGCUUCGGCAGACGACCGGCGCACGGGUGAGUAACGCGUAUCCAACCUGCCCUUCAUAUUGCUUACAGAUGGGCAUGCGUAUGAUUAGCUAGUUGGCGGGGUAACGGCCCACCAAGGCGACGAUCAUUAGGGGUUCUGAGAGGAAGGUCCCCCACAUUGGAACUGAGACACGGUCCAAACUCCUACGGGAGGCAGCAGUGAGGAAUAUUGGUCAAUGGACGCAAGUCUGAACCAGCCAUGUCGCGUGAAGGAUGACUGUCCUAUGGAUUGUAAACUUCUUUUAUAUGGGGAUAAAGUGUGAGACUUGUCUCAUUUUGCAUGUACCAUAUGAAUAAGCAUCGGCUAACUCCGUG
rnacentral:rRNA from 1 species